rnacentral:rRNA from 1 species
UACGUAGGGCGCAAGCGUUAUCCGGAAUUAUUGGGCGUAAAGGGCUCGUAGGCGGUUGGUCACGUCGGGGAGUGAAAACUCAGGGCUCAACCCUGAGCGUGCUUCCGAUACGGGCCGACUAGAGGUAUGCAGGGGAGAACGGAAUUCCUGGUGUAGCGGUGGAAUGCGCAGAUAUCAGGAGGAACACCGGUGGCGAAGGCGGCCCUCUGGGACGGUACUGACGCUGAGGAGCGAAAGCACGGGUAGCGAACAGG